GUUGAGUUUGACAGCUUAUGUGUGUGAAGUGGAAGUAAACAAGCAAAAGAAAAAAGUGAUACAUUUUCAAACGUACCGUUUUCUUCGAUUUUAGUUUUACUCUUUGAAUUGGAGCCUUCAAAAGGUUUUACAUGCACUGUGUUGAUGAAUUUGUCGGAAGUUUUUAGCUACGCUGCCGGAGGAAUCCGUUCGGAUAUGGAUGGAUUUGGUUUAUUUUCGACUUGUCUACAGUCAUCCUCCAAGUGUCGAGCCGCAUACAAUAAAAGUUUACACUAGCAGUUAACGCUCUGCUUGGUUAUUUGCAUGUACUUGCAAAACUAGUGAAGGAAAAUGCAAACAUGUGAUAGCUGUUUGGAUCAUUGAUGGAGAAACUCGACUCAAUAGAACGGUUAACAUCCAACGAGAUUAAAACGAGCGGCGGUCGGAUAUUCCGAACCGAUAACAUCAUGUUUGAAGGACAUUUGGCAUUUGUUCAUUAACUACAUUUUAUUGUCAGAUGAAUAAA